rnacentral:pre_miRNA from 1 species
UCCUAUGGAUGAGAAAACAAAGUGGUUUCUUGAGAUGGAAUCUACUCUUGGUGAAGACGCUGUGAA